AUGUCUGUCACGCCAGCAGGAAUUUUGGCAGCGAAGAAUCCGGCUUUAGCAAAAGAGAUAAAGCACAUGUCAGAGAAGUGGUCAAAACGGACGAGAAAACUAUGCAAUCCGUGGCCAUCUGAAGGCACUUUUGACGUAGUGGCGUGUGAUAAUUUGGAAUUGAGAAUUCAGGAUCAUAAAGCAGAUGGAUCCAAGAAAAGACAGCAGAAAAGAGAAAAAGAAAUUCAGAUCCUGGACUUAUUCAGGAAUGAAGGAAAGAUUUACAGACAGAACUUUAAACAUGCCAUUCUCAAAAUGAAAGACAAAUUGGACAAACCCCAGAAGGAAGUGAAGGCCCCAGCAGAAGAGGGCCUGUAUCCCCUCUUGGGAACCGUUACAAUUACGGGAGAUUUUGAUUUGCGCGACACAUUCGACAAAGGUCCUAAGGGUUUAGAUGUCGACAAUGCAAUUUUAAAAUUAACAACAUCACAGCAAUCAGAUGAAGCACCUGGCAAAGAAAAGCAUGCAAAAGGAAGUGAGGAAAGAGAAUUCGAACAAACAACUCCACCUCGUGGAACGCAUCCAAAAUAUUGCAGUACAGAACGUCGAGCGGUAAGGGAAGAAGGACGAAGGGAGAUUGAUUGUUUUGCAGAACAUAAGGAUUUUUUGAAAAGGCAACCGAAGGCUAACUCAUACUGGAUUGACCUUGAGAACAAGGAUGAGGAUGUACAUGAUGAGCUAAACGAUGUUGACCAAAUUAUACAGGACAUAUCUGAAGGCCUGCGGAAAUCCUUAAAUCACAUCACAGGCACACAUUCAGAUGAGGUUAGUGAGAACACCACUAGCACAAGCAAGGAGAAAAAUUUCAAGCCUUUUUACAAACCAGGCAUUCACUCACCAGAGCGUGGUGACCCAAAUACAGGUCUGACUCAGGAGAAGGAAAAACCAGGUCCUAGCAGUGAAAGCCGUGAGCUGAGACCCAGACAUGACUUAAAACCACCUAUUCGAUACACUAAUGAUGGUCAGUACCCAAUUUUAAUUAAGGGCACAAGAGCUAAUUAUAUUCCCUGGCAGAGCCUCGACCUCACUGGUUUGGUUUCGCGGCUGCCCGAGAUACAAGAUGGCGCUGGAAAGUGGAUUCGGGCCUUCGAACAGGAGACAACUGGGCUAAUGCUUGCCCUUGGAGAUCUCAAAGCUAUUUUGGCUCGAGUUGUUGGGACAUCAGCUAUGGGAACAUUGCUAGCAUCCAAUGGAGUCCAAUGGAUGCUGGACCCAAUGGCUGACGGCACGGAGUUUAACACACACAGAAAUGCACUCUGGAACAUACUAAGAGCAGCAUAUCCCAACAGGAUUGACCCCAAAGCCUUGAAAGGUGAGCCACUUUCAGAGACUGAGAGUCCUGCGUCAUUUGUUGACAGGCAGCUCAGACGGUGGAAGCUGGAGACGGAGGAGGGUCCUGAGGGGACGCCAAUAAUGACUUCUCUGUUCCGAACAUCCCUGAUUUCCACUCUCCCGACUCCUGUGCGAGACAAACUGGAGGAUGUGGUGGGACUGGACUCAAUGCCACAUGCACAGUUCAGAGACCAUGUAGUCCACGCCGUGGACCGCUAUCGGAAAGACAAUAACAAAAUGAUUGAGCAAGAAAAGUGUGCUCAAAGAAAACUCACGCAGCUGCACAUAAAUGAUCUCCAGAGCAAGGCAAAAACUCAGGCAGCAGUGGUGAAAAGUGACAGCCAAGUCCAAGCAUUGCAGACAGCUGUGGCCCCGCCUCAAACUCCAUCUCAACCGGUUAUCAAUGUCUACCCAAACCAGUAUGGUAGACAGCAGCCCGGACCACAGAGACGAUUUCCAAAUCGUUUCCCCAAUCGCUACCCAACUCGACAAGGCUGGGUGCAGCAGAAUCGACCCCCACUUCCAGGUUCAUGUUGGGGGUGUGGCCAGAUGGGUCACCUGUAUCGAGACUGUCCGAAUCCAAUUCCAAACCCUGAAUGGUCUGGGCGUGGUCGUGGAACACGACCAAACCGGGGAAGAGGAGGUCCAGUUAAUCCAUGGGCAGCACAACAAGGAUUCUAG
ensembl:lncRNA